UUGUAGUUAACGCUACGUUAAAAAAUUAAGUUAAAUCGCCGAUGCAGGGAGUUCUCACCUCCCUGCAUCGACUGUCCAUAGAAUCCUUUAGGGAGGUUCCUAUGUGU
rfam:Salmonella enterica subsp. enterica serovar Enteritidis str. LA5 pSLA5 plasmid complete sequence